CCGAGUUUUCAACUCCCAAACCCUUAUGUGAACCUACCUAUCGUUGCUUCGGCGGACUCGCCCCAGCCGGACGCGGACUGGACCAGCGGCCGCCGGGGACCAUCAAACUCUUGUAUUAUCAGCAUCUUCUGAAUACGCCGCAAGGCAAAACAAAUAAAUUAAAACUUUCAACAACGGAUCUCUUGGCUCUGGCAUCGAUGAAGAACGCAGCGAAAUGCGAUAAGUAAUGUGAAUUGCAGAAUCCAGUGAAUCAUCGAAUCUUUGAACGCACAUUGCGCCCGCCAGCAUUCUGGCGGGCAUGCCUGUUCGAGCGUCAUUUCAACCCUCGACCUCCCUUUGGGGAAGUCGGCGUUGGGGACCGGCAGCACACCGCCGGCCCUGAAAUGGAGUGGCGGCCCGUCCGCGGCGACCUCUGCGUAGUAAACCAACUCGCACCGGAACCCCGACGUGGCCACGCCGUAAAACACCCAACUUCUGAACGUUGACCUCGAAUCAGGUAGGACUACCCGCUGAACUUAAGCAUAUCA
rnacentral:rRNA from 1 species